UACGGGGGGGGCAAGCGUUGUUCGGAAUUACUGGGCGUAAAGGGCUCGUAGGUGGCCAACUAAGUCAGACGUGAAAUCCCUCGGCUCAACCGAGGAACUGCAUCCGAUACUGGCGGGCUUGAAUCCGGGAGAGGAUGUGGAAUUCCAGGUGUAGCGGUGAAAUGCGUAGAUAUCUGGAGGAACACCGGUGGCGAAGGCGGCAUCCUGGACCGGUAUUGACGCUGAGGCGCGAAAGCUAGGGGAGCAACGGGG
rnacentral:rRNA from 1 species